rnacentral:lncRNA from 1 species
UAUGUCUUUCGCAAGUGCCCCAAUGUUCUUCUAUUGCUAGAAACGCGUACUGGCAGCUCGGAUCAUAUUCCAUCUCUCCAAACAAGGGAACGUACUGCAGGGUAAGCAAGACUUAUAUUACUACUUGAGGAUGCACGUGAUACAAAAAAAGAAAAACAUGGUGUUGCAGCCUCUGGUAUAGAAUGCAAUCGCUGUACAGACCGGUCGGGCUAAUGUAUCCGAUAGACGGCAAUUAAUAUAAUCCAAACCCAGCCUGUGCAAACUUCAAGAAAGAAUAUAAAACUUGUGUGCAUACCCAAUGAUGGUGUUACUACUGAUGUUCAUAGCCACUGGUGGUGAUAAAACAUGUAUAAUGAGAGCUGUCAUAGAACCGCAGCAGGAAGUAACUAUUCCUACUCCUGCAGAUUAGACGAGGAAAAACAAAUUAGAUGAGUAUUUCACAUGUCAGGAAGUUGUCACUACUCACAAGACAUCAUAUCAUGCAUCAAAAUAAAUAUCAAAGAACAACAGCGAGAAGAAUGAGUGUUCAUUGGGUGUGCCAAAGUGCCUGCACCAAGGGAUUACAUGGGAUUUACUGGUCAGUUGGGACAAUGUUUUAACUUUGUCACGAUAAACCUCUCUUGCUUUUAAUAUAUGGGACAAGUUAAGACAAGUGAAUAAUUAUACUGCGAGCUUACAAUUAUAAGGCAUGAGCAAGUAUUAGUUCUGAACUUCUGAUACAAGGCAAACAGGGAAACAUCCAUGACUCUAUUUUUUUCUAAUCAUUUAUAUAUCCUAUUACAUGAUUAAAUGUGAAAAGUAUUUUUGUUAUCAAUCUACAGCUAUAAAAGAUGCAAAAUUUGAACCAAAUUAUGAUCUCAUAUCUGCAAUAAGAAAAAUGGGUCGCAAUUUUUCGUUUACUUCAACAUGACAUAUCCUUUCAAACUUGAGUUCAAGCAGUCACCGGCAAGAUCCUGAUAACAAAUCUCGUACAAACUCUCUAACUCUUGAUAUAGAUCCUGGUCAAACAAUGGUCAUCGAGUAAGACAAGAACGAGCUGCAAAUUACAAUAUACAACAUUCAGAUAUGGGUUUUUUUUAAGAAGGAAAAAAAUUUAGCAGAGGAGGAAAGGGAGAUGUGCAACUGACCUUGUGCGUGCGAUGUAACUCCCCCGUAUACGCUCGUGGAACCAACGGCCCACUGCAUGCAUCCAAUAAGUUUAACCGAUGGGAAACAUUUUAUGAGGAAACAAAGGCUUCUCAUAUCAGCAUCUCAGCAAAUGUUCAUCCAGUGCUCCAAAAAAAUGUCAAUGGCAGAUCUAUAUUGCAUUUUGGGGUGAACAAAAAUCCAAAAUAGAGUAAGAAUAUACGUCUAUGUUACUACUGAUAGAAAAUUUAUAAAUUUGACAAAAAAUGGAACUACAAUAAAAUAACAGGUGCAUAGUGCGUUUAAAUUCUUACCAGAAAAUAUAUAAUCAAAGAAGAUGAAACCAGAGACUCUAUACAAAUUAUUGAUGGUACAGAACCAUCAACCAUAAAACAUUUGCAUGUCACAGCUCCCAGUUCAAUCAAAUUCAUGUUAGAACUGUAAGCAUGUUUUUGUUACAACCUGUCAACAUAUCAAGCAACUCGUUCCUUUUCUUCGGUUUUUAAUAAGCACAAAUCAUGAACUCUACACCUCACCUUUUGUGAAGAGAAGGAUCCACAGAGCUCUAGAGCUCUAUACAUUCUUGUUGCGACGUAAUAUUAGUCUGUACUAACAUAAUCAAAAAUCUCAGCCACAGUGUUAUGUCAUCAGCGGCAACGGCUUUUCUUUGCAGGCUUGUGCUCAUUGCAAAUCCAUAAUAUAGCAGGCAAUUGAAACAAUCCAUGAUUAGCUUCUAAAUCCAUAAUUUCGAUGGGAAAAACCGGGAACAAAAAGCUACAAAAUUUAUCAAUCUUUGCCUUUCGCCAAACAGAGGUACUGCAGGGCAUAUAUAGAUUAGUGCAAUAAACUUGUACUCUCUCUGUAUUAGUUUGUUUCUUGCAUCAGUGCGUCAAUAAGAGUCAUUAUACAUGGCACAAUGGCAAACAUAGCAUCAUUUAAAGCAUGGCUCGCAAAAUUCAGGGAUAUGCAUAGGAAAAAGGAAUAAGUAAAAAAUCAAACCUGCAUUAGCGCAUCGUUCUGACUGCAGAGCACGAUACCAAGUAGAUGAGCACCCUUGAGGCCAGGACAGGGC